ACGAACGCUGGCGGCGUGCUUAACACAUGCAAGUCGCACGGUAAGGCCCCAGCUUGCUGGGGUACACGAGUGGCGAACGGGUGAGUAACACGUGGGUGACCUGCCCCGCACUUCGGGAUAAGCCUGGGAAACUGGGUCUAAUACCGGAUAGGACCGCACCGUGAGGGUGUGGUGGAAAGUUUUUCGGUGUGGGAUGGGCCCGCGGCCUAUCAGCUUGUUGGUGGGGUAAUGGCCUACCAAGGCGGCGACGGGUAGCCGGCCUGAGAGGGUGGACGGCCACAUUGGGACUGAGACACGGCCCAGACUCCUACGGGAGGCAGCAGUGGGGAAUAUUGCACAAUGGGCGGAAGCCUGAUGCAGCGACGCCGCGUGGGGGAUGACGGCCUUCGGGUUGUAAACUCCUUUCACCAUCGACGAAGGUUUUCUGACGGUAGAUGGAGAAGAAGCACCGGCUAACUACGUG
rnacentral:rRNA from 1 species